rnacentral:rRNA from 1 species
UACAGAGGUGGCAAGCGUUGUUCGGAAUUACUGGGCGUAAAGGGCGCGUAGGCGGCCUUCUAAGUCAGACGUGAAAUCCCCCGGCUUAACCUGGGAACUGCGUCUGAUACUGGGAGGCUUGGGUAUGGGAGAGGGAUGUAGAAUUCCAGGUGUAGCGGUGAAAUGCGUAGAUAUCUGGAGGAAUACCGGUGGCGAAGGCGGCAUCCUGGACCAUAACUGACGCUGAGGCGCGAAAGCUAGGGGAGCAAACGGG